GACGAACGCUGGCGGCGUGCUUAACACAUGCAAGUCGAACGGAAAGGCCCUGCUUUUGUGGGGUGCUCGAGUGGCGAACGGGUGAGUAACACGUGAGUAACCUGCCCUUGACUUUGGGAUAACUUCAGGAAACUGGGGCUAAUACCUGAUAGGAGCUCCUGCUGCAUGGUGGGGUCUGGAAAGUUUCGGCGGAUGGGGAUGGACUCGCGGCUUAUCAGCUUGUUGGUGGGGUAGUGGCUUACCAAGGCUUUGACGGGUAGCCGGCCUGAGAGGGUGACCGGCCACAUUGGGACUGAGAUACGGCCCAGACGCCUACGGGAGGCAGCAGUGGGGAAUAUUGCACAAUGGGCGGAAGCCUGAUGCAGCAACGCCGCGUGCGGGAUGACGGCCUUCGGGUUGUAAACCGCUUUCGCCUGUGACGAAGCGUGAGUGACGGUAAUGGGUAAAGAAGCACCGGCUAACUACGUG
rnacentral:rRNA from 1 species